CAGCCGCCGCGGUAAUACGUAGGGUGCGAGCGUUAAUCGGAAUUACUGGGCGUAAAGCGUGCGCAGGCGGUUCGUUAAGACAGAUGUGAAAUCCCCGGGCUUAACCUGGGAACUGCAUUUGUGACUGGCGAGCUAGAGUAUGGCAGAGGGGGGUAGAAUUCCACGUGUAGCAGUGAAAUGCGUAGAGAUGUGGAGGAAUACCGAUGGCGAAGGCAGCCCCCUGGGCCAAUACUGACGCUCAUGCACGAAAGCGGGGGGAGCAAACAGGAUUAGAUACCCCUGUAGUCCCUGUCUCUUAUAC
rnacentral:rRNA from 1 species